rnacentral:SRP_RNA from 1 species
GCUGGGUGUGGUGGUGCACGCCUGUAGUCCCAGCUACUUGGGAGGCUGAGGCAGGAGAAUUGCUUGAACCCAGGAGGCGGAGGUUGCAGUGAGCAGAGAUCGUGCCACUGCACUCCAGCCUGGGUGACAGAGCAAGACUCCGUCUCAA